UUACGGCUAUAUCGCGUUGAAACACCGGUCCUCGUUCAAUCACCGAAGUUAAGCAACAUCGUGCCUGGUCAGUACCUAGUUUGAUGACCACUUGGAAAUACCCGUUGCUGUA